UCGGCAUGUUUCGGCAUGGUAAGUGAAGCUAUACGGAGGGAAUUGUUUCUAAAGCGAGUGAGAGGAAAAUACCGUGAUCUACUUCAAGCCCCCCGGGCUAAGGCCCGGGUGGCUUGCUGCGCCGUCUACCUAUUGAACUCUGGCCUGUUCACUCGACGUCCUGCAUACAGGACGUCAAGUGGGUGUGGCCUAUGAAGUGGGCGUUGCCUAGUGGGCGUGGCCGGGGUGACGUUAUGGCUUCGGCUUCUUCACUUAAUUAAAGGUGAAGAGGAGCAGCCUUCAAUAACAUCAUGCUCCCCUUGUGGCUAUGUGAGGGUAACGCAGCUUAUAUGUUUGGUCCUGCAUCAUAGGGUCUAUGUGUGGGUGGCUUGGAUUCUUAAAAUACGUAACAGUCCCUCCUUGGUCAUCUUAGAUGACCAUACAAUAAUAUUUUAAAUCAUAAACACCAUUUACCACACCGAAAACAUAGUCAAAGUAGGAUCAAUCAUCAACACCAUCAACCGUCGCGGAAAGACCUCUUGAAGAGAGGGGAAAAACCACUACGCGUCCCCAUAAUACUGAGACGGCAUUCACGUUGUGGGUCUUAUUGGAAAUACAGGUCAUUAUUUAACAAUACAACAAUGAACACAAAUCUUGUUAACAUACAAUCACAUGGCCAAACAGCACACAAACAAAACUAUCCAUAGAAAUCCUGAGCUAAUACUUUUUGGUCAUGUGCUACAAGGUCAUACAAUUUUCAUCAUGUGCAAAAGUAAAGUAAAAAUUGGUAGUCAUAAUACAAUUUUAAAAAAUUCAAGAUUAUUGAUAGCCUAGCAUGGAUUCGGGUGGUUCAGGUGAUCUUCGUGCAUUGGUUCGCUGUUGCAUGUGGGUGGUUUGGGCAUGGAUUCUGUCGCCGUCGGGCCUGUAGUUCAUGAACCCAAGACUCAUCCCUCCUUGUCAAGGGCUCAACUCAGAGAGGUUACUCCUACAUCAUGGGAGCCUCCAAACAGGUUCUCCGUCGUCGUCGUGUCAGCAACAGGUGGCCUGUAAACAACCGUCUCAAAGAUCAACAGUACCAUUAUCAAUGCAGCGAUUCAGAA
ensembl:lncRNA